rnacentral:rRNA from 1 species
GAUGAACGCUGGCGGCGUGCCUAAUACAUGCAAGUCGAGCGAACAGACGAGGAGCUUGCUCCUCUGACGUUAGCGGCGGACGGGUGAGUAACACGUGGAUAACCUACCUAUAAGACUGGGAUAACUUCGGGAAACCUGAGCUAAUACCGGAUAAUAUAUUGAACCGCAUGGUUCAAUAGUGAAAGACGGUUUUGCUGUCCCUUAUAGAUGGAUCCGCGCCGCAUUAGCUAGUUGGUAAGGUAACGGCUUACCAAGGCGACGAUGCGUAGCCGACCUGAGAGGGUGAUCGGCCACACUGGAACUGAGACACGGUCCAGACUCCUACGGGAGGCAGCAGUAGGGAAUCUUCCGCAAUGGGCGAAAGCCUGACGGAGCAACGCCGCGUGAGUGAUGAAGGUCUUCGGAUCGUAAAACUCUGUUAUUAGGGAAGAACAAAUGUGUAAGUAACUAUGCACGUCUUGACGGUACCUAAUCAGAAAGCCACGGCUAACUACGUG